UCUGGGAUAGCGAGAAGUGUGACAGCGUCGCAAAUCUCAAAGAGAUCAGGGUAAACUGUUUCUCAAAACCCACAGCUGGACAGUGCUUCUGCUUAUGGAUCAGCAUUUGGGCUGUGCUCCUGUGAGUUUUCCAGUCUGCUGUAAUAAGACUAUUUUGUUAAAUAUAUAAAAAAUUCUACGUCGACAAACGCCGAGGAAGGAGCUUUGAGCCUGGCAGAUGGCUGGUGGAACAUUAUAUGAUGCCUGGAACAAGAUGCAGUCAUCUUGUUACCAUGAGACACCUCACAUGGAGAAAAAAAAAUUACGUUGAGGAUGAUUCAUGCUAAUAUAUGCUAAGAAGAACCUGAGACCCCAGUGACAAUCGCCUACUUGCUUGACCAACUCUGAUAUCACCUAACUUUGAACGUGCAUGAGACCAAGGCUCCAACUCCUGUUUGCUUGACCAACUCUAUCACCUACCUUAGAACCUGACAAGAAA